UUACCCACCUUUGACAUGUACGGAAUUUGCCAGAGAUGGCUCAGUGCUCGAAAGAGAGCCGUAACACAGGUGCUGCAUGGCUGUCGUCAGCUCGUGUCGUGAGAUGUUGGGUUAAGUCCCGCAACGAGCGCAACCCUUGUCAUUAGUUGCUACGAAAGGGCACUCUAAUGAGACUGCCGGUGACAAACCGGAGGAAGGUGGGGAUGACGUCAAGUCCUCAUGGCCCUUAUAGGUGGGGCUACACACGUCAUACAAUGGCCGGUACAAAGGGUCGCAAACCCGCGAGGGGGAGCUAAUCCAUCAAAGCCGGUCGUAGUCCGGAUCGCAGUCUGCAACUCGACUGCGUGAAGUCGGAAUCGCUAGUAAUCGUGGAUCAGCAUGUCACGGUGAAUACGUUCCCGGGUCUUGUACACACCGCCCGUCACACCAUGGGAGCGGGUCUCGCCAGAAGUAGUUAGCCUAACCGCAAGGAGGGCGAUUACCACGGCGGGGUUCGUGACUGGGGUGAAGUCGUAACAAGGUAACC
rnacentral:rRNA from 1 species